UGCGGCCAGGCAUUCCUGCUCCGCGGCACUGCACCAGCUGAAUGUUGGUGCAAGUGUGCAAGAUGCAGUAUGAGCUGCGUUUGACUACACCGUAGACGUAGCUUCCGCUACGACACCAUCCUCGUGCUAAGCGCAUUCACAAUAAGCGCAUUCACAAUAACAGGGUCUGCGUGCCGCAAUGCAAAGCCAACUGGAGAUUGUCGCACCUCCCGACUUGCUCUAGGGAACGGAAACGCUGGAUAACACAAGUGAAACGAGAUUGCUUGGAGCAGAAUAUUUCUCCCCGUGUUUUUGAGGCCCACUGCGUGGACACAAGCAUCCAGCAAAGAAGGCAGGACGGUUUGAAGAAAUUAAGGCCAGAUGCUGUUUGCAAUAAAAUCUGACCUGGAAAAACUU